UAUCCGUGGGUUCACUUUAUCACGCACAAAUCUUUCUCUACUUAAGAUUUCCGUGCAGAGGACCGCUAUGAUCGGUAUAUAACAAUUUAUCGUUGCCUCGUCUUCGGACGAGGCU
rfam:Strongylocentrotus purpuratus Contig111736_fixed, whole genome shotgun sequence.